rnacentral:lncRNA from 1 species
GACCACUGAAAUGUAAGUUUUGCAUGUCGUGGGUGAGUAGUUGGGCCAUCUAAUCUGUCUCUCUCUCUCUCUUACUCUGCCAUGUAAUUUCUCUUUCUAAAUCACCUACUCAGGACAAAAAUAAUUAAGAGAAAAUGAAUGGCAUUCCUGUGAAACCAACUCCCACAUGGUCCAGACACCACCUUUAACAAGUGGGAAUAUACCCUCAACUAUGAUGGGCUCCUCUUCGCUGCCAGGGCAACCUUAUGCUGCACAGCCUACUCAUUCUCUCUCUCUCUCUUUCUUGGUGUGUGUAUUGAAAGGAAAGGAUGGAGGCUUUUCGAGUGGUUCUCACGUUGGUUGUGCUGAUAGCUGUUUGUGAAUGUGGGGUGACGGGCAUGGAAUCCGAGGCCGGCCGAGGUAUUUUACAUCACCAGAAAAA